rnacentral:rRNA from 1 species
AACGAACGCUGGCGGCAGGCCUAACACAUGCAAGUCGAACGGGAUCUUCGGAUCUAGUGGCGGACGGGUGAGUAACGCGUGGGAACGUGCCCUUUGGUUCGGAAUAGCCCUGGGAAACUGGGAGUAAUACCGGAUGAGACCUUCGGGGGAAAGAUUUAUCGCCAAAGGAUCGGCCCGCGUUGGAUUAGGUAGUUGGUGGGGUAAUGGCCUACCAAGCCGACGAUCCAUAGCUGGUUUGAGAGGAUGAUCAGCCACACUGGGACUGAGACACGGCCCAGACUCCUACGGGAGGCAGCAGUGGGGAAUCUUAGACAAUGGGGGAAACCCUGAUCUAGCCAUGCCGCGUGAGCGAUGAAGGCCUUAGGGUUGUAAAGCUCUUUCAGUGGGGAAGAUAAUGACGGUACCCACAGAAGAAGCCCCGGCUAACUUCGUGCCAGCCGCCGCAGUAAAAC